rnacentral:rRNA from 1 species
UACGAAGGGGGCUAGCGUUGCUCGGAAUUACUGGGCGUAAAGCGCGUGUAGGCGGCCAUCUAAGUCGGGCGUGAAAUCCCACGGCUCAACCGUGGAAGUGCACUCGAAACUGGAUGGCUAGAGUCCUGGAGAGGAAGGUGGAAUGCUUGGUGUAGAGGUGAAAUUCGUAGAUAUCAAGCGGAACACCGGUGGCGAAGGCGGCGACCUGGUCCUUGACUGACGCUGAGGCGCGAAAGCGUGGGGAGCAAACAGG